UUUUUGGAAAAAAUAUUUAAGUAAUGUACAGAUUUUUUUUUGUCUUAUAUGGACGCUGCCCCCGCCGCCGCGGCCGGCCCGUACCGUGCCGCAAUACUAAUAUCGUGAUAUCUCCUAAACUAUAUGUCUAAAUAACACACUGUAAACUGCAAAAAUAAUCUAAAUUAAAUGCUCGUGAUGAUGAACUUACUUAUUUUGAUAAGGAUAUAUGUAUUAUUGGUUAUAUCACCAGUUAAACAUCACCCAACGAAUUAAAUGUUUUUUUAAUACAGAAAAGUAGUUUUUGUGACUUAAAUAAAAAAGCUGGAUAUAUGUCAUCGCGGACUUUUUUGUAGAACUAAUAAAGACCAAUGUUUUUGCUA